rnacentral:rRNA from 1 species
UACGGAGGGGGCAAGCGUUGUUCGGAAUCAUUGGGCGUAAAGGGCGCGUAGGCGGCCUGUCAAGUCGGACGUGAAAUCCCUCGGCUCAACCGAGGAACCGCGCUCGAUACUGGCGGGCUAGAGUCCGGGAGGGGAUGGUGGAAUUCCCAGUGUAGCGGUGAAAUGCGUAGAUAUUGGGAAGAACACCGGUGGCGAAGGCGGCCAUCUGGACCGGAACUGACGCUGAGGCGCGAAAGCUAGGGGAGCGAAU